UGCCAGCAGCCGCGGUAAUACGGAGGGUGCGAGCGUUAAUCGGAAUUACUGGGCGUAAAGCGCGCGUAGGUGGCUCGAUCAGUCAGGUGUGAAAGCCCCGGGCUCAACCUGGGAAUUGCAUUUGAUACUGUCGAGCUAGAGUCUGUCAGAGGGUGGCGGAAUUCCGGGUGUAGCGGUGAAAUGCGUAGAUAUCCGGAGGAACACCAGUGGCGAAGGCGGCCACCUGGACGAUUACUGACGCUCAGGCACGAAAGCAUGGGGAGCGAAAGGGAUUAGAUA
rnacentral:rRNA from 1 species